AAUUUGUACUCCACUUUGUUUUAGAAUUGAUUGAUGAUGUUAAGACUUAACCACUCAAGGUUCAAUAAUCUACAUGCAACUACUUAUAGGAAGUGGGGCUCUGUCUCUCAGAAAGACAUUGUUUUGGCUUAUAUUUAAUAGUUAGAGAGGAAAACUUCAGACACCAAGGACGUGAAUUAGUGCUCAAUGAAACAUUGGGUGAUUUCUUCGUGUAGACACUAAGAUCACUCUCUGCAAACUGGUGCACAAUAACAAUGG
rnacentral:misc_RNA from 1 species